GUGUCAGCCGCCGCGGUAAGACGAACCGUACGAACGUUAUUCGGAAUCACUGGGCUUAAAGGGUGCGUAGGCGGUCCGGUAAGUCGAGUGUGAAAUCCCUCAGCUCAACUGAGGAAUUGCGCCCGAAACUGUCGGACUUGAGGGAGACAGAGGUGAGCGGAACUUAGGGUGGAGCGGUGAAAUGCGUUGAUAUCCUAAGGAACACCAGGGGCGAAAGCGGCUCACUGGGUCUCUUCUGACGCUGAGGCACGAAAGCUAGGGGAGCGAACGGGAUUAGAUACCCCGGUAGUCCUAGCCGUAAACGAUGAGCACUGGAUCGAAGGGUCCUCCAUAGCCUUUCGGUCGUAGCGAAAGUGUUAAGUGCUCCGCCUGGGGAGUAUGGUCGCAAGGCUGAA
rnacentral:rRNA from 1 species